rnacentral:hammerhead_ribozyme from 1 species
AUCAAGCUGACGAGUCCCAAAUAGGACGAAACGCGCGUCGAACUGGAU